CAUUUUGGGUCAGCUCCAAUAGGUUCCCUGUUGCUGGAGUCAAGACUCCAUGUGGGCAAGCCGUCAGGGCAGCUGCUUUGCAGAAGGUCAUGUGUCCUGUGUGAGUUGGGAGAAGCUGAGCCCAAGAGCAGGAACCAGGCGGUUGUCCCUAACUCUGAAGCAUUUUGCAGCAGGGUUUUCUUUAAAUCUAUACACUUAACUGAGUGGUUUGCUAAUCAGUUAGCUGACUGGCUGGCACUGACUUCAGCACAGGAAGAGUCUGAAUGGAUUCCAACUGAAGACUCCUACAAGCAAGUGGAGGGAAGAUGUUGUUUUAGACCAGAGGCCCAGACCUGCACAUGUGGACAGCAGGAAUUGUAUCUGGGCCUGUACCUGGGACCAUGAGUUGCCCUUGAGGAGCCAAUCAUCCAGAGAAUGAAGAAUAGCUGGCCGUUUCUGUCUUAGGUUCCACAAAUGAAGUGUGUCAUCUGCACUCGCACUGACCAAGGCACCCUACAACAAUCAGAGACAGAAUAUGGUGGAAUGUUAUUUAUCUGAAUAUUGAAAGGCAAGAUUAUUUAAGAAUAAGACAAUGAUCUGUAUACAAAGAGAAGAGCCUCAAAAGAAUCAGCAAUGUUCCUUGCCCUUAUGAAAGGAGACUCAAAGAGCUUGCCCAUCCAACCUUGAAAAAAAGUUGCACAUUUACACAAAACAAAUGCUUAGCUGCAAUAUCCAAAUGAUUUGGUUCACUUCAAACCACUACAAUUACCUGUUUGUGGAGAUGUCAUGCUAUGCACUCAACUUCCAUCUACUUUCUUUCAUUGUAGGAAUUAACUACCGUACUUGCUAAAACAGUGCUUAUUUGAAAUUCAUAUACUGUACUGUGUGUCAUACUGAAUUAUAUUGUACUAUGAUAUAUGAUAUAUGGAUGGCGGCAAAUGGUACCGUAAUCCAUGAAUGCACAACACUUUGAAAUGAAACAAUGUGAAAUAGCCGAAAGGGCAUAGGCAGUAGAGGCUUGGAUCAUGUACAAUAUGCAAGGUAUUGACAUGGUGUUUUUAUCUGGUUCAAAGCUAUAACGAAAAAAAGGCCAAUA